UAGGGGUCUAAUCGGAGCUGUAGCCACUGGCCUGCGCCACAGCCACAGCAAUGAGGCAUCCAAGCCGUGUCUGCAACCCACACCACAGCUCGCGGCAACGCCGGAUCCUCAACCCACUGAGCAAGGCCAGGGAGUGAACCUGCAACCUCAUGGUUCCUAGUCGGAUUCGUUAACCACUGUGCCACGACGGGAACUCCUUAGUUCCUAUUCUUAAUGAAAACAUUUUCUGCCUGAAUUUUUUAGUGUGGCGUUAUUAAACAAUGAAAACAUCUUUUCCAUACUUUUCAAAGUCUACCAGUUCCCUAUAUGUUUUGUUGGUUUGUACUAUAAAUGAACUCUAAAUAUUUUAGGAAAAAGUUUUAUGAUAGAUAAGUUCUUUUUAAAAUUUAGCACCUAAUUUUUUUAAAAUCAAAAUGAAAAAUUUCUUGCAUAAAGGGGAACGUUUACCUUUUACUUUGUUUUUCUUCCAUGUGGUAAAUCUUUUCCUUUACAAAGGAAGUGUGCUUACAGAAUUACUGAGGUGGUUUUUAGAAAGCAGUAAUCAUAGAAACCCCGUCCGUGCUUGCCCUAAUCUGUCUCCCCAAAGCCCUUGGUCUGAAAGCCAGCCGUGGCUCUUGUCCUUAUUACAUGUGACUCGUGGAACAGGAUUGUGCUGUUCACUGUGUACGCUGGCACGGUGCCCUAGCAGCCCCUGUGAUGCUGCCUCAACAUCACGAAGCUGUUUGUGAGUUUUACACCGUAUUGUAUACUAUAUUACAGUGUAUUUACUCUGUUGAUAAGUUACAGAAUAUCUGUAGUAUUUCUGCAUAAUCUAUAAAAAUACGACAUUAGAAAAUCUAGGGACUGUAAAUAUGAAAACAUGAAAAAAAGUUCUUUGGCACAAAAUCCCCUCCAAAAUAUGAAUAAUAUUUGCAUUGAGAGCCAUGAGAUUAAAUAUGCUUCAUUUUAUUAAAAAAUACUUUGGGUGAGACUAACUGGGUAUGGCGAUUUGGUUAAUUUUAGUGCAAAAUAGGAAUAAUAUUUGCAUUAAGAGCCAUGAGAUUAAAUAUGCUUCAUUUUAUUUAAAAAUACUUUGGGCGAGGCUAACUAGGUAUGGCAAUUUGGUUAAUUUUAGUGCAAAAUAGGAAUAAUACUUGCACUGAGAGCCAUGAGAUUAAAUAUGCUUCAUUUUAUUUAAAAAUACUUUGGGCGAGGCUAACUAGGUAUGGCAAUUUGGUUAAUUUUAGUGCCAAGUAUGAAUAAUACUUGCACUGAGAGCCGUGAGAUUAAAUAUGCUUCAUUUUAUUAAAAAAUACUUUGGGCUAGGCUAACUAGGUAUGGCGAUUUGGUUAAUUUUAGUGCUUUUUUUAUUUUUAUUAUUUUUGGCUGUGCCUGUGGCACACGGAAUUUCCUGGGGUCUAACCCGCACCUCAGCAGCAACCCAAGCCUCUGCAGUGACAACGCUGGAUCCCUGACCCGUUGUGCCACGAGAGAGCUCCCAGGUGCUUAGUUUUAAUGACUUUUGUAGAUAAAAAUGUUAUUUUCACAAAAGUGUGUAGAUCUAAGUGGAAGAAAUAAAUCAUUGGCUGCAGUUCAAAGUCAUGAGCUUCAUUUUUGAAUCAUGCCCGCUAAUUAUGCAGAAGUUUUCAUUUAACUUGGGCUGUUAAAUGUGCAUUGUCCCUGAUGUCAGUCAGGUCUUGCCCCUUAAUCGGAAGGUUGAAUCUUGUAAGGAUAGCUUCGGAAUCCACUCAACCCUCUUCGUUUGGAAGUUUUUUAAAGAAACGGGGAAAAUUGUUUCCAGUUAACAUUGCACAUAUUAGAGUUUUUAAUAAGAGACUCAUCAAUUUUGGCAACAAAAUCACAGAGCAGCGGAAACAAAUCCUGGAGGUCAGGGCCUGGGAGAGUCCCUCUGCCUGCCUCCCUGAGCCUCUUGGGCCCAAAACCCAGUUCUCUGUCAGUUCCACCCAUUGUUUUCCUGGUUCUGCUCAGUCUGGACAUGAUAGUCCUUAAACAACAGGACAAGGUUAACCCCUGUCCUGAGUUUUCAUUUCUCCUCAGACCUGAACUAGUUCCUGACUUGAGGAUAUGAUGUGCGUGUGUCACUGUCUUUGAUUUCCCUGUGCCAGGUCCACCGCAGGUCCCCCAGCUCUGGUGGAGAACUCACCCUGGGGCGGUGCCGGUGUCAUACUGGCCUCAGGGAGCUGCCUCUCAGCCAGGACGCUUUUGCCGACCUCUCCGUGUUCAUGGAGGGAUAGAACUGUUCAGCUAAAUAUCCAACAGCUUUCAAGCUUUGAAGAUGAAAAGGACAGGCUGGAAACUUUCCAUGACAAGUUGCUGAGCCGGGAAGUGAAUCUGCAAUCCUUCCGGUGUCCUAAGGACCUCACGCCAGAGAGAAGUGCGUGGUUGGAAAAUGACAGCCCUGUAUUCCCCGGAUUGAGGCGGUCACCCAGCGGCUCAGUAGUUCUCAGUUAGCAGUGAGCGGUCCCACCGUGGACACCAGCUCUACCUCCUGGAAAAGCCAAGUGGAGAAGGCAGCUGAGAGGCUGGACAGUGCCUGCAUCAGCGGCACCUGGAAGGGAGAAGGUAGCCUUGGUUGGAAAACGGGCAGCUCAUGUGUCAGCGAACGACAAAGCUGAACAAUGAAAGGUCUCAUGUAGAAGAACUUGACUGUAAUACAAACUUACUAUAUUAAUGUUUUAUCUUCUCAGUGCAAACAGAAAAGUAACCGUCCGCCCAUUUGUCACGCUCAACAGAGCUUUAAGAGAGGUUAACGCAGACCAUUCAGCAUCAUCUAUGAAAGAAUUACAUUUCGCAAUAGUGAGUAAAAGGAAAAAACAUGAACAACAAAGGAUGGUAUUCUUCCCCACCAAUUAUUUCCAUGCUCAGUCUGCACUAAUAGUUACAAGCGGAGAAAAAAGGCAACGUUAAAAGCGCUUAAAAUUUAGGAUAUAAUAGAAUGGUUUCGUCUUGCG
rnacentral:lncRNA from 1 species